rnacentral:rRNA from 1 species
CCUACGGGAGACAGCAGUGGGGAAUAUUGCACAAUGGGGGAAACCCUGAUGCAGCGACGCCGCGUGAGUGAAGAAGUAUUUCGGUAUGUAAAGCUCUAUCAGCAGGGAAGAAAAUGACGGUACCUGAUUAAGAAGCCCCGGCUAACUACGUGCCAGCAGCCGCGGUAAUACGUCGGGUGCAAGCGUUAUCAGGAUUUACUGGGUGUAAAGGGAGCGUAGACGGCAGCACAAGUCUGGAGUGAAAUGCCUGGGCUUAACCCCGGAACUGCUUUGGAAACUGUGCAGCUAGAGUGCAGGAGAGGUAAGUGGAAUGCCUAGUGUAGCGGUGAAAUGCGUAGAUAUUAGGAGGAACACCAGUGGCGAAGGCGGCUUACUGGACUGUAACUGACGUUGAGGCUCGAAAGCGUGGGGAGCAAACAGGAUUAGAUACCCGAGUAGUC